rnacentral:rRNA from 1 species
UACGAAGGGGGCUAGCGUUGCUCGGAAUCACUGGGCGUAAAGCGCACGUAGGCGGCCUCUUAAGUCGGCGGUGAAAUCCUGGAGCUCAACUCCAGAACUGCCUUCGAUACUGGGAGUCUCGAGUCCGGGAGAGGUGAGUGGAACUGCGAGUGUAGAGGUGAAAUUCGUAGAUAUUCGCAAGAACACCAGUGGCGAAGGCGGCUCACUGGCCCGGUACUGACGCUGAGGUGCGAAAGCGUGGGGAGCAAACAGG